ensembl:processed_transcript
GUCAAACAUGAAAUAGUAUCUCAUAUAUGUGCAACUGAUGUUUAUGUGUGUUUGUGUUUCUGUAUCCACAGAAGGAGGAACAUGUGAGGUGAUCGCAGCACACCGAUGUUGCAACAAGAACCGUAUUGAGGAACGUUCCCAGACGGUCAAGUGUUCAUGUUUACCAGGAAAAGUGGCUGGCACGACACGAAACAAACCCUCCUGUGUAGACGCCUCCAUUGUGAUUGGGAAGUGGUGGUGUGAGAUGGAGCCAUGUCUGGAGGGAGAAGAGUGCAAGACGCUACCAGACAACUCCGGCUGGAUGUGUUCCUCUGGGAAUAAGAUCAAGACCACGAGGAACACCCAGCCAUAUUCCACUUUUUAGCUCUGAGGGCCACUCAAUCUUCAGAAGCUCAGCGGCGUCCUUCUCCUCAUCAAG